GAUGAACGCUGGCGGCGUGCUUAACACAUGCAAGUCGAACGGAAAGGCCCAAGCUUGCUUGGGUACUCGACUGGCGAACGGGUGAGUAACACGUGGGUGAUCUGCCCUGCACUUCGGGGUAUGCCUGGGAAACUGGAUCUAAUACCGGAUAGGAUCUAUUCUUGUUGGAUGUGGCGGCGAGUGUUUUCUGUGUGGGAUGAGCUUGCGGCCUAUCAGCUUGUUGGUGGGGUAAUGGCCUACCAGGGCGUCGACGAGUAGCCGGCCUGGGAGGGUGUGCGGCCACAGUGAGACUGGGAUACGGCCCCGACUCCGACGGGUGGCAGCAGUGGGGAAUGUUGCUAAAGGGGCGCGAGCCUGAGGCAGCGCCGCCGCGUGGGGGAUGACGGCCUUCGGGUUGGAAACGCCUUUCGCUAGGGACGAGGCGUUUUGUGACGGUACCUGGAGAAUAAGCACCGGCUAACUACGUG
rnacentral:rRNA from 1 species